UACAGAGGUCCCAAGCGUUGUUCGGAUUCAUUGGGCGUAAAGGGGUGCGUAGGCGGUUGGGUAAGUCGGGUGUGAAAACUCCAGGCUCAACUUGGAGAGGCCACCCGAUACUGCUCUGACUUGAGUUCGGUAGGGGAGUGGGGAAUUCCUGGUGUAGCGGUGAAAUGACGUAGAUAUGCGGAGGACACCGAUGGCGAAGGCAAUCCCCUGGGCCUGCACUGACGCUCAUGCACGAAAGCGUGGGGAGCAAACAGG
rnacentral:rRNA from 1 species